rnacentral:rRNA from 1 species
AUAUUGCGCAAUGGAGGGAACUCUGACGCAGCGACGCCGCGUGAGCGAUGAAGGUUUUCGGAUCGUAAAGCUCUGUCCUUGGGGAAGAAGAUCUUAGGAUUUGACGGUACCCGAGGAGGAAGCCCCGGCUAACUACGUGCCAGCAGCCGCGGUAAUACGUAGGGGGCAAGCGUUGUCCGGAAUUAUUGGGCGUAAAGGGUGCGUAGGCGGCCUUUUAAGUCAGAUGUGAAAGCCCACGGCUUAACCGUGGGACUGCAUUUGAAACUGUAGGGCUUGAGUGCAGGAGAGGAGAGUGGAAUUCCUAGCGUAGCGGUGAAAUGCGUAGAUAUUAGGAGGAAUACCAGUGGCGAAGGCGACUUUCUGGACAUAUACUGACGCUGAGGAACGAAAGCGUGGGGAGCAAAC